rnacentral:rRNA from 1 species
GACGAACGCUGGCGGCGUGCUUAACACAUGCAAGUCGAACGGAAAGGCCCUGCUUUUGUGGGGUGCUCGAGUGGCGAACGGGUGAGUAACACGUGAGUAACCUGCCCUUGACUUUGGGAUAACUUCAGGAAACUGGGGCUAAUACCGGAUAGGAGCUCCUGCUGCAUGGUGGGGGUUGGAAAGUUUCGGCGGUUGGGGAUGGACUCGCGGCUUAUCAGCUUGUUGGUGAGGUAGUGGCUUACCAAGGCUUUGACGGGUAGCCGGCCUGAGAGGGUGACCGGCCACAUUGGGACUGAGAUACGGCCCAGACUCCUACGAGAGGCAGCAGUGGGGAAUAUUGCACAAUGGGCGGAAGCCUGAUGCAGCAACGCCGCGUGCGGGAUGACGGCCUUCGGGUUGUAAACCGCUUUCGCCUGUGACGAAGCGUGAGUGACGGUAAUGGGUAAAGAAGCACCGGCUAACUACGUG